rnacentral:rRNA from 1 species
UACGGAGGAUGCAAGCGUUAUCCGGAAUGAUUGGGCGUAAAGCGUCCGCAGGUGGCUAUGUAAGUCUGCUGUUAAAGAGUGAGGCUCAACCUCAUAAGAGCAGUGGAAACUACAUGGCUAGAGUGCGUUCGGGGCAGAGGGAAGUUCCUGGUGUAGCGGUGAAAUGCGUAGAGAUCAGGAAGAACACCGGUGGCGAAAGCGCUCUGCUAGGCCGCAACUGGACACUCAUGGACGAAAGCUAAGGGGAGCGAAUGGG